rnacentral:rRNA from 1 species
AGUGAACGCUGGCGGUAGGCCUAACACAUGCAAGUCGAACGGCAGCACAGUAAGAGCUUGCUCUUACGGGUGGCGAGUGGCGGACGGGUGAGGAAUACAUCGGAAUCUACUUUUUCGUGGGGGAUAACGUAGGGAAACUUACGCUAAUACCGCAUACGACCUACGGGUGAAAGCAGGGGAUCUUCGGACCUUGCGCGAUUGAAUGAGCCGAUGUCGGAUUAGCUAGUUGGCGGGGUAAAGGCCCACCAAGGCGACGAUCCGUAGCUGGUCUGAGAGGAUGAGGAGCCACACUGGAACUGAGACACGGUCCAGACUCCUACGGGAGGCAGCAGUGGGGAAUAUAGGACAAUGGGCGCAAGCCUGAUCCAGCCAUACCGGGUGGGUGAAGAAGGCCUUCGGGUUGUAAAGCCCUUUUGUUGGGAAAGAAAGGCAGCAGGUUAAUACCCCGCUGUUCUGACGGUACCCAAAGAAUAAGCACCGGCUAACUUCGU